rfam:Ricinus communis cultivar Hale ctg_1100012362691, whole genome shotgun sequence.
AUGUCAUAGUGUGGGUAAUGUCUUUGGAAGUCUUUAAAUCUCUCCCAAGCGUCAUAUGGAGAUUCUCCAGGCUAUUGCUAAAACCCAACGAGGUCUUUGUGAUAUUU